UACGUAGGGGGCUAGCGUUAUCCGGAUUUACUGGGCGUAAAGGGUGCGUAGGUGGUCCUUCAAGUCGGUGGUUAAAGGCUACGGCUCAACCGUAGUAAGCCGCCGAAACUGGAGGACUUGAGUGCAGGAGAGGAAAGUGGAAUUCCCAGUGUAGCGGUGAAAUGCGUAGAUAUUGGGAGGAACACCAGUAGCGAAGGCGGCUUUCUGGACUGCAACUGACACUGAGGCACGAAAGCGUGGGUAGC
rnacentral:rRNA from 1 species